CCUACGGGUGGCAGCAGUCGAGAAUCAUUCACAAUGGGGGAAACCCUGAUGGUGCGACACCGCGUGGGGGAAUGAAGGUCUUCGGAUUGUAAACUCCUGUCAUGUGGGAGCAAAUUAACAAGAUUGUACCACAAGAGGAAGAGACGGCUAACUAUGUUCCAGCAGCCGCGGUAAUACCGAGGGCUCAAGCGUUGCUCGGAAUCGCUGGGCGUAAAGCGUGCGUAGGCGGUUUAGUAAGCCGUGGGGGAAAUGCGCGGGCUCAACCCGCGGCCGGCAGUUGAUACUGGGAGACUCGAGUAAGGGAGGGGAAAGCGGAAUUCGCGGUGUAGGAGUGAAAUGCGUAGAUAUCGAGAGGAACACUCGUGGCGAAGGCGGGUUCCUGG
rnacentral:rRNA from 1 species